rnacentral:rRNA from 1 species
UACGUAGGGGGCAAGCGUUGUCCGGAUUUAUUGGGCGUAAAGAGCUCGUAGGCGGUUCCGUAAGUCGUGAAGUCAAAUCUCUGGGCUCAACCCAGAAUCGCUUCCGAUACUGCGGUGACUGGAGUCCGGUAGGGGAGUGUGGAAUUCCUGGUGUAGCGGUGAAAUGCGCAGAUAUCAGGAGGAACACCAACAGCGAAGGCAGCACUCUGGGCCGGUACUGACGCUGAGGAGCGAAAGCAUGGGGAGCGAACCGG